rnacentral:rRNA from 1 species
CCUACGGGUGGCAGCAGUGAGGAAUAUUGGUCAAUGGACGAGAGUCUGAACCAGCCAAGUAGCGUGAAGGAUGACUGCCCUAUGGGUUGUAAACUUCUUUUAUAAAGGAAUAAAACGAGGCACGUGUGCCUUUUUGUAUGUACUUUAUGAAUAAGGAUCGGCUAACUCCGUGCCAGCAACCGCGGUAAUACGGAGGAUCCGAGCGUUAUCCGGAUUUAUUGGGUUUAAAGGGAGCGUAGAUGGGUUGUUAAGUCAGUUGUGAAAGUUUGCGGCUCAACCGUAAAAUUGCAAUUGAUACUGGCAGUCUUGAGUACAGUUGAGGUAGGCGGAAUUCGUGGUGUAGCGGUGAAAUGCUUAGAUAUCACGAAGAACCCCGAUUGCGAAGGCAGCUUACUAAACUGUGACUGACAUUGAUGCUCGAAAGCGCGGGUAUCGAACAGGAUUAGAUACCCCUGUAGUC